UGAACUUGUUGAUGUGAUCAAGAAAUUGUACCAGUUCUAUGCUACCUCUACACCUUCAUCUUCAAGGACUAGGAAUAAAACAAAUGAACCUAUGGAUGUUGAUACAGCAGAUCUGUUAGUGGACAAUGAAGAUGAUGAACUAGAAAGCUACUUAUAUGACUCAAGUGGACCUCAUGCAGAGGACUUAAAUGAGCUUGAUAAGUAUAUGGCUGAUCCACCUUUAAGGUUUAGUGGUCAAUUUGAUAUUUCAUCAUGGUGAAAGAACCAGGUUGAUAAGUAUCCUAUUCUUGCAAAAAUAGCUCGUGAUUUGUUGGCUGUACAAGUCUCAACCGUUGCUUCCGAGUCUGCAUUUAGUGCCGGUGGACGUGUGAUUGAUCCGUUUCGCAGCCGCCUUGAGCAUGAAAUGGUAGAAGCUUUGAUAUACAUGAAGGAUUGGGUUGCUGCAGCAAGAAGAGAUAAGAAGGUAGGCUCCAUUCUGGGUGAUCUUGAAGUUAUAGAGGCCCUUGCUUCAAAAUUAGUUUAGAGGAUGGAGAAGUUGCAGAUAGUGAUGAAGAGGUGGAUCUGUCCAAUACAGAAGAUGUAUUGUUCAAUACCUACGGGGGAUUUGCUUAACUUCAUCGCUUUUGCUUCGCAUAUCAGAUUCUACCUAUCUAUUAUAAAAUUCAUUCAUGUAUCAGUUGAGCAGUGUCAUGUGUGAUGUGUUUGUAAAACAUGUAUAAACUUUGAACUAUUAUGUAUUUGUGUCAUGGUGUGAUCGUGUGGAUGUGCCAUACUGUCAUACUGUCUACUAUGAUCUUAUGAGUUAUGAGAAAUUGAGAAUGUGUUGAACUGUUGAUCAACUAAUUUAU